rnacentral:rRNA from 1 species
AACGAACGCUGGCGGCAUGCCUAACACAUGCAAGUCGAACGAGACCUUCGGGUCUAGUGGCGCACGGGUGCGUAACGCGUGGGAACCUGCCCUUAGGUUCGGAAUAACUCCCCGAAAGGGGUGCUAAUACCGGAUAAUGUCUUCGGACCAAAGAUUUAUCGCCUUUGGAUGGGCCGGCGUUGGAUUAGCUAGUUGGUAGGGUAAAAGCCUACCAAGGCGACGAUACAUAGCUGGUCUGAGAGGAUGAUCAGCCACACUGGGACUGAGACACGGCCCAGACUCCUACGGGAGGCAGCAGUGGGGAAUAUUGGACAAUGGGCGAAAGUCUGAUACAGCAAUGCCGCGUGAGUUAUGAAGGCCUUAGGGUGGUAAAGCUCGUUUAUCCGGGAUGAUAAUGACAGUACCGGGAGAAUAAGCUCCGGCUAACUCCGUG